AGCAUUGUAGAGGGGCGCAGAGAAGUGGAGGCCAGUGGGACAUGCGAUGUGGAAGAGGGCAGCAGCUGAGGACUCUGGCACCUGGUGGGAGGAGUGGGUAGGAAGGUGGAAGAAAACACAGGACGCGUGUCAGAUCAAGUUGGCACCCCAAUGGCCUCUGGAUAUACUGACCAGGACCUGGACUUUCGGACUUUAGAGGUGGCAGGUCUUUCAAGGAAGCUGUCCAGACGCAUAAGCCUCUCCAUGUGCAGCGCCCGGGGAUCUUGUUCUUGGUCAUGAGAGAAUUCAACCUCAAAGACGGCUGGAGGGGACACAUCCAGUUCCAGGAAUAGGAUGUUCUCUGCCUGUCCCCAGAAAAGUAAAACCAGAUAUGGGUACAGAUGUGCCUGGCACCAUAUGCCUUCUCUGUCCCUAGCUAAUAUUCACUGAUGGUGGCAAUGAAUGGCCCUGGGACAACGCGUCUGUGCUACCUCAGCAAGGUCUGAAAAUGACACCCUCUGAGUCUGAAACCAUGCCCUGCAUUGUAGGCAUGGCCGAUGCAUUGAAAAGUGUUUCCUCAGCUGUACCUUUUAGUUGUGAAAGAGGGCUCUUGUGGGCUGAGGAGGAAUUGUUGACAAGUGACAUGAUGUAAAAAAAAAAAAUAUAUAUAUAUAUAAUAUAUAUAUAUGUACACACAUAUAUACAUAUAUAAAGUAUGUAUUUAAUUAAUUGAGACUGGGUCUUCUUCUGGCAUCAUUCACAGGCCAGAUCCCCCUAUUAGUGGCAUGAGAGCUUGACCUACUCUGUUUCUGACUGUUCUUCCUUAGGCAACCCGGUGGCUGGCUCCUUGCUCCCAGGGACUCACUCUACCGUUGCCAGACUUGGCGCAGAGUCCUGAUUGAGUGAGCCCAUUGUAGCUCAGAACUCUCAAGCCCAGGAGAUUUGUCAGCUUCAGCCUCCCAGGUCUCUUUGCUUCACACUGAUCUAUGGAGGCAUCCAGCGACAGUCUUCAGGUGUGAAGAGCUUCAGGUAACUUCUUCAAGAUCCAUCUUCCAUCUCCUCCUACUUCCCCCGUGAUGGGAGUCCCUGAGGCUCUAUCCUGGACUUCCUGCUCUUUUCCCAAAAUGAUCUCUUCUGUGAUUUCUACCCCUUGUGCCUUCAUCCCUCCCUUCCCUUCAGGCUUACAUAUCUUACAUCUUCAGCCUUCUCUCAAAACAGGUCCUUUUCAUCUCUCAAACUGUUCUAACCAGACUGCAAACAUUCUCUUAUCUUUGUUGCACUUUUUUUCAAUCCACAAUUUAAGCUCUAACCAAUGGUGUACUGGUUGUGUUUAAUAUCUGGCUCUCCAAAAAAACAAAAAGUAUACAGAAGACAUCCUUUUAAGUUUAAUCUGCAUUAUUAACAUUUUCUUUAUCACUUUCUUAUGCCUAGACAGUCAACAAAUCAAUGUCAAGAUCUGAUUUGCAGUGUUUGCUGAUUUCUGAGGUAUAAAUGCUCAGACAGAAAAUAUAACAAUUUUCCAAGCCUACCUCUACCUCUAACAUAAAAUUGUAAGGAAGAAACUAUUAUAUGCUAUAUUAGCACACACCUCCCCCUCAACCUACCCACUUAUAGUAACAGAAACACUUGAUAAAUUCUUAUUGGCAAUGAUUAAGGCUCAUGAAAAAGUAUAUACCCAGGGUUAGGCAGACCCCCCCAAAUGUCACCAUGUGCAGUCUGAGAGACAGACAGACAGCAGACAGAGACAGAGACAGAGAGAGAGAGAAAAUGUGGCAAGAUCAACCCUGGCAGAGUAAGGGUAAACAAAGAAGCCAGAGAGUGAAAGAACUGGGUUAGCUGAGCCACUGGCAGGAUCAUGGCUCUAGAGAUGGAAGAGACACCAGAGGGUAGCUAGUCCCCUUCCUUCAUUUAAUGGAUGAGGAAAUAAAAUCCAAGAGAUGAGAAGUGACUUAUCCAGACUUUCACAUAAGAAGCAUUAGAGGUGGGAUCUGAAUCCAGCUCCUUUGAUUUGAGAAUGCUUUUCCCAUUGAGGUAUGCUAUGAUGACAUGGGAAAGAGCAAAAGAUAAUGAGGGAGAGGAGCAAAAGCAUAAGUAAGUCUGAGGGUAGUGAAUGGGCUUAGUUAAUUUUGAGAAGGAAACCUCAAACUCUAGGUCUCAGACAUCCUCCAAACCUUCCCUGAGGUCUGCAGCCAUGACUCAGAAGUCUGAGAAACACCUAGAGCACUGAGACUGAUCCUGGGUACCUUGGUGGCAAGAUGGUAAAGAUACUACUAUUAAUAAUACCUUCCAUUCAUAAGGGACUUUUAACUUUCUCACAGUGUUCCCACAUAUAUCAUUUUGUCUGUCUUUAUAAUACCCCUGGGAAGUAGC